UACGUAGGUGGCAAGCGUUGUCCGGAUUUACUGGGCGUAAAGCGUGCGCAGGCGGUUUUGUAAGCCAGAUGUGAAAUCCCCGGGCUCAACCUGGGAAUGGCAUUUGGGACUGCAAGGCUUGAGUGCGGCAGAGGAGACUGGAAUUCCUGGUGUAGCAGUGAAAUGCGUAGAUAUCAGGAGGAAUACCGAUGGCGAAGGCAGGUCUCUGGGCUGACACUGACGCUCAUGCACGAAAGCGUGGGGAGCAAACAGG
rnacentral:rRNA from 1 species